AAAGGUUUACCGAAAAGGGCUCCUUUAGGUGCAAGCCUUGUCAAAGCCAGAAUUACAAAAUCUGCUUCUGGACAAUGUCUGAACAUCCCAAAGAAACCUUCUACGGAUAACUUGAACAGCGUCUCCUGUUGCUCUACACCAUCACCAAAAUCAUCUUCAUUAUGUUUUCUGACAGCAACGCAUGAAUCAGUUUCUUGUUCCCUAAGUAACAGUGGUUCAACAUUCAAAACUCCUUUGAAGAAAGCUGAGCUGGGAAGUUCUUGUCAUUCUAGUUAUGUGUUCUCUUG